rnacentral:lncRNA from 1 species
CAAAAAAAUAGAUUGAUUACAACAUGACACUAACAAGGGAGGUAAUUACUUUUUUAAACUGACAAGAAAACUAGCACGUUAAACUUAGAGUAUAGAUUCACAGGUCAGAGAUUGUCAGAUCAAAAUUUUUUUUAAUCGGAGAUUAUGUCGACGGAUCAUAUGCAAAAGUCUUUUUCAAUCUAAACAAUAAGGGUGCGUGAUCUUUAGUCUUAAGUUUGGAGAUGAUCUAAGAUGAUAAGACAUAACAGUGACUAUCCUCUAUUACUAUUGUGGCUAUUGUAAAAUGGGUAUAAAUGGUCCGGUUCCGCUUAUUUAUUUCCCCGCAAAAACAAAUACAGGGCUGCCGGUUCCUUGCCGGUAUUGUCGCAAAACGUUCUGCAAGUUCACAUUUAAAACCGCGAGUAGCUUUCAAUUUUUUUGCCAUUCGGAGUCUAUUCAGUAUGAAUAUUGCUCAUUUGUGAAGGCUAUAUGGUCACUUAAACUAGAAGGUGUGGAUGGCGUUUAAGGAAUAGAGAAUAGCGGGGAUUGAAUAUUAGAGACAAUGGAACAAAAAUGAAUAAAAUAGAAUAAUGAGGUGUUCAAAUAUAAAGAGAAUAAGUUAACUGGCAAAAAGUAUGAAGAAUAGAGAAAAAUGGCUCACACCAUAAUUUAAAGAGUAUAUAGAGAAACAUUAUUAAGGGUUUCGCGGAACCCAGUGUCUAGCCUACUUAUGCUGUUAAUCGCAGGCUCAACAAAAGAGGAAUAAAAUCAAUAAAAAAUAUUCCUCUUAAUACUAUCUUAUGAUUCUAAGAAGCUUCUGUCCACGUUUGGUAAAAAUACAGAAUGUUUUAAAAACCUUAACUGCAGACUGUCUGUAAUAUAGACUGGAAGAAAUACUAAUAUAUAAAAAAGAAGAUGUGGUAUGAUUGCCAAUAAGACAACUAUCCACAAAAGACCAAAAUGACACAAACAUUAACAACUAUAGGUCACCGUACGGCCUUCAACAAUGAGCAAAGCCCAUACCACGUAGUCAGCUAUAAAAGCCGAAAAGACAAAGUAAAACAAUUCAAACGAGAAAACUAACGGCCUUAUUUAUGUAAAAAAAUGAACGAAAAACAAAUAUGUAACACAUAAACAAACGACAACGACUGAAUUACAGGCUCCUGACUUGGGACAGGCACAUACAUAAAUAAUGUAAGUCCAUUUAUAAGUAAAAUACAGAUACACAGG